UUUUGCAGUGUGGGUUACCAGCACCUGGUUCAGCAGUGCUUCCAGCUGACGUGUUUGGCCUGUCUUCGGAGUUGUGAGAAAUCUGAUUGAGAAAGAAAAAAAGAAAAAGCCCACCCUGGCAGGAGAUGUCUUUCAAAUCCAAGCAAAUCAAAAACAUGUGCAAGAGAAAUCAACUAACCAAUAAUGGCUUUAUUUUGUCAGAUGAGCCGCAGCCUGAUGGCAGUGAUGAUCUGGUGAGGGCGUUUGUCUAAAGGUGGGCUGAAUCUGGGAAUUCCUCUGAGACAAGAGUAGAAGGUCCAAGGAAGCUGGUGGUCCUUGUGUUUCUGGAGAGUGUACAGCAUUAUAGCCAAACUGGUAAGUGAAGAGUUUAAUUGUUUUUCUUGAAAGUGUGGGGAGUUGCAGAGUAGCAAUAUUAACCCUAAAGUGGGGAAUUGCCUGUAUUCUGGGUAAUGCGAAAAUUUUUCACCAUUCAUUCUAAUUCCUUAGAAAAUCAAUGAAUACUCACAGAGAGUCUCAGAAGACUUCACAUUCUUGUACGUUUAAAUUUUCUACAGUAAUCUGAUUAAUUUAGAAAGUAGUAUUAGCAAUUGUUCUGCCACAUUCCCAUGGUCAUGUUUUCCUAAUACACUGUUAUUAACCUGUGAAUGGACACAUUUGAUACAAUUUAUUAUUAAUAUAUCACGUCAUUUCAUAAUGAAAGUUCAAUCUUUAGUCUUCAUUUUCACUUAAGGACUUUUCUGAUUGACUGUCUGGUCUCUCAAAGUAUCCAACCCUCAGCCCCCUGGCUGGGCAGAAAGGAAAAGACUUCAAGGAUAAUACUUAUUUUAAAUCCACGCUAUCUUCUCGUUGGGAACCUGUCAGUCCUGCAAGUUAAGCAGCCUUCGCUGGGGUCAGUAUUUAGAUAGGAGGUUAUCUAGGAACAUGGAAGCGCUACAGGAAAUGUUUGAGACUUCUUAUGUUGCACCGAAGUCUCAUCUGUCUUCAGUGUAAACAAGGUCUUCUUUGGGUGUGGAAGGAUGCCACUGCUUAGGGUUCUGUACGUCAGUAAGACAUAAAAUUGGUAUCUUAACUAUGUAUUGUCUUUUAAGACUCAAUGGUUCUUUCUCAAGGAAAAGAGUCGACAGAUCAAAAUUCAAUUAACAGUGGAUUCCUGUGCAGUUUUAGUGAGAUGACUUUCUCAUGUCAGUUUCAUUUGCUGGAGAGCAUUGUCAUUGCUUUGAUUCACUUCAAAUGCUGGUAUAUUUUAAUGGUGAGCAAAUAUAUUCUUGUUCACUGCUGUAACAUGAUUUUAAUGUUACGCAUCAGCUUUAGUUCCUUUGAAUGAAAGCUUAAACAGACCAAGUUGUGGCCUAGGAAGAAAUCACCCAGGUAUAGGAAAUUAAAGCUACAGCUAAUGGCAACUUCUCACUCAUGGCAGUUGGUGUAAUUUAGAGCUGUUCUUAAACCACUCUCCUUUAUGCAGAUGGCCUGGCUUAGCACCUGGCUGGCUGGCUGAAGGAAGUUUUAAAGAAUGCUUAGUGACAGAUCUGGAUCAGGAUACUGCAUAUUGACAUGGUUAUGAGACAUUUACUGUAGAAACUGACUGUUUUGAUUUAUCAAGAUGAUCUUGGGAGGCAUAAAAAAAAAGUGGAAAAAUUGGCUUCAUCUCAGUCAGCCUAUGGGAUGUUAGAAACAAUACCAGAAUAGGAAGUGCCUGGAACAAGAACAUAAAAGGUUUAAAAAGCUGUUUUCAAGAAAAUGUUAAUUAUUGCAGAGGAUGAGGCUGAAAGGCAGGCCCCACAGAAGAUUCUGAUAAAGCUGAACCUGACUCAGUUACCAUCAAGAGAUAGUAAUCCCUCUGUACUGUUGCUUUAACACUUUUUCCUUCCAUGUGCUGCAUUUGUAUUAAUAAACAGAGCAGUGAUUUUGUCACAAUGUCCCAGCACUGAUCUUGAAGAGAAGUACAGCAGUUGUUCAAAGACAAACUUGCUAGGUAAAUAUACUUGAUGCCCAAGGCACUGGAGGACAGGC